UCACUCUGACGCUUCUCGUGGGGCCACUUAGUCGACUUCCACAUGCAAAGUGGAGCCAAGGAAUCAGGCAUGUGCUCCUCGUUGUCCUUGACCUCCAAGGACGCAAGUCCCCAACCUUGGUUCCUCUGCGACUACCACACCAAUCUCGACGCCCACCUCCCUACAACUGUUGCCAGCACCGACUCUCAACGUUGAGUUAACCUGAUACGCUCAAGGGCUAUGUAGAGUGGGUUGUCAAGAUGAAGGGCUCGACAUUGAGUCCAUCGAGUAGUUCGUACAUGGUGUGAUGACCUGGGCUCCCAUGGCUGCCUCCUAGGCUACAAC